rnacentral:rRNA from 1 species
CAAUAGCGUAUAUUAAAGUUGUUGCAGUUAAAAAGCUCGUAGUUGAAACUCCGGCGUUUUUGCGCCUGUCUGGUAGAGUCGCUUUACUGUAAAAGGUUUGGCGGCUUCGAACAGACAUUUACCGUGAACAAAUUAAAGUGCUUAAAGCAGGCUUUUGCUUGAAUAGUUUAGCAUGGAAUAAUAGAAUACGACCUUAUUCAUUUUAUUGGUUAUUGAAUAAAGUAAUGAUUAACAGGAACAGUUGGGGGCAUCCGUAUUUGAAAGUCAGAGGUAAAAUUCUUUUAUCUUUCAAAGACGAACUAAAGCGAAAGCAUUUGCCAAGGAUGUUUNCAUUAA